rnacentral:rRNA from 1 species
AAAACAUGUCCUUUAGGAUUAAAUUUAAGGUCUAACCUGCCCACUGAAAAAUUGAAUGGCCGCAGUAUUUUAACUGUGCAAAGGUAGCAUAAUCAUUAGUCUUUUAAUUGAAGGCUUGUAUGAAUGGUUGGACAAGAUAUAUAUUGUUUCAUAUAAAUUUAUAGAAUUUUAUUUUUUAGUUAAAAAGCUAAAAUUUUAUUAAAAGACGAGAAGACCCUAUAGAUCUUUAUAAUUAUUAAGUUUUAUUUAUUAAGAAUAUUUUAUAUUUAAUUUAGAUAAUUAUUUUAUUGGGGUGAUAGUAAGAUUAAUUGAACUCUUAUUUAAAUUAAUACAUAAAUUAAUGAUUAAUUGAUCCAAUAUUAUUGAUCAGUAAAAUAAGUUACCUUAGGGAUAACAGCGUAAUUUUUUUAGAGAGUUCAUAUCGAUAAAAAAGAUUGCGACCUCGAUGUUGGAUUAAGAGAUAAAUUUGGGCGCAGCCGUUCAAAUUUAAAGUCUGUUCGACUUUUUGAUUCUUACAUGAUCUGAGUU